ACGAGACUAAACAACUACAGACCCGUCGCCCUGACCUCUGUGGACCUGCACACCUCUAAGACUCUGAGGCGAGCAGGAAAGAUUGCAGCAGACGCCUCCCAUCCCGGUCACAAAGUGUUUCAGACUCUCCCCCCUGUGCAAGAGGCUGUGGUCCAUCAGGACCAAAACCUCUCGCCAUAAAAAGAGCUUCUACCCAUCCGCAGCUAGCCCCAAGGCCCGGGCCUCACACUGGCACCCCCCCCCCAAAUAAUACAAUCGUCUCUGCACAUGUAAAUAUCACUUCAUGUCAUAUCAUGCACGAACCUGGCAUUGACCAUUCUAUAUGUAUAAUGUGAAAGAUGUCACUGUGUCUUUAAAUUAAAAAACUCUGAUAGUCCCGUAUAUUCCCUGCCCAGCAACACAUGGCAGACAAAUUUAUCAACUCGCUGGUAAAUUUAAUGGCGCAUGUAAAAUCUAGAGUGAGAUAUUUUUUUCUCAGGAGUUAGUGGAGAACAAAACAGAGCUAAAACAAAAAUUAGACUGAGUGUCCAGAAACACAACUGCUAAUGAAUGCUAACAAGUUCACCCCUUACAAUUUAUAAAAUUAUAUUAUGUCAGUGUUGUGGUUACAGCUUGUUUCACUGCCCCUAAGUGGCCAAAAAGCACAUACUGUUUUAGGUAGGUGAGAAGCUAGAGUAGCAAAAACACAUGUACAGAUCACCCAGAAAGCAACUCCCUCUUAAAGGGACAAGCCUUUAACACAGUAACAGGGACACUCUCUGGAAAGACACAAUGCUGUUAAAGGAGACCUAUUAUACUGCAUUUCCAGUCCUAUAUUGUAGUUCUGGGACUCCUCUAUGGCAGCUUUGCAUGAUUCAAAGUAAAAAAAAAAAUAAUUCUAUCUUGUACUGGCUCUUCAUGCAGGCUCUCGUUUCAGCCUCUGUCUGAAACAGUAGAUGCUCCUGUCUCUUUAAGGCCCCUGCUCCAAACUCCAAUUGUCUUCUGAUUGGACAUUCUCUGAUGUGUUUAUCAGGCUGCCACAGGGAUGGGGCUGCAGGUUCCUUUGUGGGCGUGGCCAGCAUUCUCUGCCUGGAGCAAAUGACCAUAUAUGGAAAUCCGGCUCGGAAUGACAUCAUACCGAGCCAUUAGUAGAAAAAACAGCUGAAAACAGAGCGUUCAGAACAGGGGAAUAUCUGAGGUUUUGGCCCACAGGGAUUUCUUUUAAAUACUUAUUAUUAUUAAUAUAUAAUUAUUAUUUGAAGCUUUGGCCGUGUUUAUAAUGAACAUCUGACAUUGUAACAUUAUAGAAAUGCUAGAAAAUAUGAAAAAGCAUAAUAGGUCCCCUUUAAAUUGUUGACAUUUAAUUUAGCAUUGCAGUAAUUUAGCAUUGCAGUUUCCCUAAAUUAAAUUCUAUUCACCAAUUGUAUUGUGUUUGAGGCAGACGUUUCAGUGACAGAUUUCACAAAAGCUGGAAAACUUAAACCAAAAAUAUCUACAUGGCUAGAUAUCACUAGAGUUGAGUGAGGAAGUGCAUCUUUUUGUCAUUUUGGGAGAACUGGCCUUUAAAAAAAAGCACUGUGACUCAGUAUUCUUGGAGGAGCUGAAAGACUGUACAAACAAUAGUUAUAAAAACAUCUGCCUAAAGCUGGAUUAGAUAAUAAAUCUAAAUAUCAAGUGAAACGUGUAGAAAACCACCUAAACAGGAAAAAUCAAAUGUUCUGUCUCCUCCCAGGAUACAUAAUCCCUCUCCCUGCUGUGAACCAGAUAUGUGAUGAUAUUAAAUGAUUCGCUUAAAUAUUAAAGGAGACAGGAUGAAGAGGUUAGAUACACAAAGAGCUCUGUAGGGAAGUCACGUUUUACUGGCUGUUGUGAGUACGCGAGUGUGUGGGUGUGCGUGGGUGUGCAAGAGAAACAGUGAGAGAAACAGUGUCUGUGUUCCAUAUGAAAAUGUACAGCCACUUUAAACACUUACUAUGACAGCCAAUCUUUCAUGGUGAAUGUAAAGCUUGAUUUUAUUUUAGCCAAGUUCAGCUAUGUUUUUUGCAGGUAAAAGUGUGGAUUGAUUUUAAAGAGAAACUUGUAAGGUGGUGUGCUGUUGCUAUCGAUAAUAUGAUUUUCUGUUGUGAAUCUGUUCUGUACACACAUCUGUUGCAUGCCUGUCCGUGCUGAAAGCUGGAUACCUCCUGAGGUUUCUUCCAUUUUCUCCUUGUUAAAAGGGUUUCGGUGGGGGAGUUUUUCGUCAGUCAAAUCAAGGGUCUAAGGACAGAGGGUGUUGUAUAUUGUACUGAUUCUUAAACUCCUUGCGGUAAAUUUUGAUUUGUGAUAUUGGGCUAUAUUAAUAUUAUUGGCUUGACUUGCUUUGACAGUAACGCUUGAUCAUUUUUAAUAAUGUUUAUGCUUAUUUACUGUUUGUCGCCUGGGUUGGAUUUUAUGUCAGUUUGUAAAUGCAACACUGCUUGGAAAAAUAUCUAGGGCACCUGAUUUUUUUCAGUUAAUUGCUCAGUUGUUUUGUUUUUAACACAUCAAAACAUGUUGAAAAAACUCCCCUCACUUCUCUGCGACAAAAAGUGAGAUUCUUCAAAUUGCUUGUUUUGUCCUUCCAACAGUCAGAAAGAUAUUUACUUUGUCAUCAUAUAUAACCAAAAAAAAGGAAAUCUGAGAUGCAGGAAUGCUUGUAAUGUUUGCUUGAAAAAUUACUGAAAUAAUUAAUUUAUUGACUUAUUGAUUACUUCACUAAUGUUUCUACUAUUAAAAGAAACAAAGUGUUAGAAAA